UACGUAGGGUGCAAGCGUUGUCCGGAAUUAUUGGGCGUAAAGAGCUCGUAGGCGGUUUGUCGCGUCGACUGUGAAAACCCGAGGCUUAACCUCGGGCCUGCAGUCGAUACGGGCAGACUAGAGUUCGGUAGGGGAGACUGGAAUUCCUGGUGUAGCGGUGAAAUGCGCAGAUAUCAGGAGGAACACCGGUGGCGAAGGCGGGUCUCUGGGCCGAUACCGACGCUGAGGAGCGAAAGCGUGGGGAGCAAACAGG
rnacentral:rRNA from 1 species